GUUUGCUAGAUAUUUACUCUCAGACAUUUAAAAAUAUUAUUCCUUGAUACAGAGAAGAUUAGCAUGGCCCCUGUGCAAGGAUGACACGCAAAUUCAUGAAAUGUUCCAUAUUUUU
ensembl:snRNA U6 U6 spliceosomal RNA